GGCGCUAUCGUCUAGGGGUUAGGACGUAAGAUUCUCAUUCUUAAAACAGGGGUUCGAUUCCCCUUAGCGCUACUA
rnacentral:tRNA from 3 species